AGGACGAACGCUGGCGGCGUGCUUAACACAUGCAAGUCGAACGCGCCUGCUCUUUGGGGUGGGUGAGUGGCGAACGGGUGAGUAACACGUGGGUGACCUGCCCUCAGCUCUGGGAUAAGCCUGGGAAACUGGGUCUAAUACCGGAUAGGACCUCAUGUUUCAUGGUGUGGGGUGGAAAGUUUUUCGGCUGGGGAUGGGCCCGCGGCCUAUCAGCUUGUUGGUGGGGUGAUGGCUUACCAAGGCUUCGACGGGUAGCCGGCCUGAGAGGGCGUCCGGCCACACUGGGACUGAGACACGGCCCAGACUCCUACGGGAGGCAGCAGUGGGGAAUAUUGCGCAAUGGGCGGAAGCCUGACGCAGCGACGCCGCGUGGGGGAUGACGGCCUUCGGUUGUAACCUCUUCGACUUCGACGAAGCCUGUGUC
rnacentral:rRNA from 1 species